UUGUGUUUACUAAAUUGAAUUAAAAAAAAAAAAAAGAAUUUGUUAACUUAUAGAGGAGUGUUUGUAUAAAAUCACAUAAAAUUUCACUUAAUUAUUGGAGUAUUUAUUACAUAAUAAUUAUAAAAGAAAAAAAAUUCAAAUAAAUAUAGCUUUAUACUGUGUGUGUUCAAAGAAAAUAGAUGAAUAAAAGAUUUAAAUAUAAUAAUAUAAAAUAAUUUUACAGGAUAUUUCAAAGGAUUAUAAAAAAAGCACAAAAAUUUGUUAAUGAUAAUAAAAGGUAAAUUAAAUAAUGAAAUAUCACACGGCAAAACGCUUUCGAAUAUCAUCCGUUAAAAAAAGUAUAGUAACAAAAGGAGAACAAGAAAAAAAUCUAUGUAGAUCCUUCAGUGCAGGAAAAUUGUAAUUAAACUUUUUUAAGAGUUUUUGCAGAAAUAUAAUAAUUUUUUUAUUAGUAUUAAGGCGUAACACAAAUCUAAAAUUUCUAGAGUGAACACAAAAAAUGAGGUGAGAAAACAUGGUUUUUACAUAAAAAAUUUUUGGGGGAACAAAAAAAAUUUUUUUUUGCUUACACUUUAUGUAUUUGGAUCAUAACAAUUUAUUACUUGACAUGAUUAGUUUAAAUUUAAAAUUAAAAUUUUUAAUAUGAAUUAAUACAUUAACAUUGAUUAAAAAAAAAGAAUUAAAAUCAAAUCACUUAAUUCUAGGACAUUUUUAUUUAUAUGUUAUGUGAACUGGCACAUUUAUUUGCAUGAGUAUUUGAAAUUUCUCAUAAAAAGUUAAUGGGCUUAGCACUUAAAAUUAAUAUUAUAUUUGGGUUGUUUGUUUUUCAAAUAUUUUUAUC